CUGCCCUUCACUCUGGGACAAGCCCUGGAAACGGGGUCUAAUACCGGAUAACACUUACCUCCUCCUGGGGGUUGGUUAAAAGCUCCGGCGGUGAAGGAUGAGCCCGCGGCCUAUCAGCUUGUUGGUGGGGUAAUGGCCUACCAAGGCGACGACGGGUAGCCGGCCUGAGAGGGCGACCGGCCACACUGGGACUGAGACACGGCCCAGACUCCUACGGGAGGCAGCAGUGGGGAAUAUUGCACAAUGGGCGAAAGCCUGAUGCAGCGACGCCGCGUGAGGGAUGACGGCCUUCGGGUUGUAAACCUCUUUCAGCAGGGAAGAAGCGCAAGUGACGGUACCUGCAGAAGAAGCACCGGCUAACUACGUGCCAGCAGCCGCGGUAAUACGUANGGUGCGAGCGUUGUCCGGAAUUAUUGGGCGUAAAGAGCUCGUAGGCGGUCUGUCACGUCGGAUGUGAAAGCCCGGGGCUUAACCCCGGGUCUGCAUUCGAUACGGGCAGA
rnacentral:rRNA from 1 species